AAAGGCUCCCCCCAGUCUCCCUUGCUCUCCCUGGAGCCCUCACUAUCAUGAGAACAGCAUGGGGGAAACGGCCCCCAUGAUCUGAUCACCUCCCACCAGGUGGUCUGGGGAGCAAGGGACUUGUGCGUUUGCAACCGGGUGUGGCGGUGAGGGAGGGGAAAGUCCUUACGCCACGGGAGGGUGGGGCCCGGCCACCCAGGUGGGCCAGCGGGAUGCCUGGGAGGCCGGUGGGUUUGGCUGACCACUUUUUCCCAUUCC
rnacentral:lncRNA from 1 species